rnacentral:rRNA from 2 species
AGGGAGGUCGGCAACGACCACCCAGGGCCGGAAAGUUGGUCAAACCCGGUCAUUUAGAGGAAGUAAAAGUCGUAACAAGGUCUCCGUAGGUGAACCUGCGGAGGGAUCAUU